rnacentral:rRNA from 1 species
AUUAUGCUACCUUUGCACAGUUAAAAUACUGCGGCCAUUUAAAAAUUUUCAGUGGGCAGGUUAGACUUUAAAUUUAUUUCAAAAAGACAUGUUUUUGUUAAACAGGCGAAUAUUAUUUUAGCCGAAUUCUUUAUUUAAACUUAUCAUUUAAAUUUAUUUUACAAUAAAAUAUACUAAUUUUAUCAUUAUUACUUAAUUUUAAAAAUUAAAAUUAAUACCUCAAUAAAAAUUUAAAAUAUAAUAAAUAAUUUAAUUUAUAAAAUAAAUUAUAACAGAUUUUUUAAUAAUUGCUAAUUCUAAGCAUAUAUUUUUUAAAUUUAUUUAUUAUUUAUAAAAAUUUAUUUUAUAGCUUAUCCCAUAAAAUAUUAAAAUUACAAAAUUAUUUAAUUAAAAAAUUUUUUAAAUAAAUUUAUAACUUCUAAAUUAAAUUUAUUUCUUGAAAAACUAGAUACCUUUAAAAACGAAUAACAUUUCAUUUCUAAUAUAAUAUUAAAAAUAAUUUUAUUACAUUAACUUUUAUAUUAUAUUAACUCUUUUAAAAUCGAGAAAAAUAUAUUUAAAUAUUUUUUAUUUAAUAAACGCUGAUACACAAGGUACAAUAAAUUAAAUCUUCUUUUAAAAUAAAAAUUUUUCAAAAUAUUUCAAUUUUCUUUUACAAUACUACUAAACUAUUAUUAAAAUUAUUUUUUCUUUAAACAAUACUAAAACUUUUUAUUAUAUAAUUAUUUUUAAUAUUUUCAUUUAAAAUUUAUAAAAUUAAUAAAUAAAAUCUAA